CCUACGGGGCGCAGCAGUGAGGUAUAUUGGUCAAUGGGCGGAAGCCUGAACCAGCCAAGUCGCGUGAGGGAAGAAGGCCCUGCGGGUCGCAGACCUCUUUGGACGGGGAGCAAGGCCGCCGACGUGUCGGCGGAAGGAGAGUACCCGUAGAACAAGCAUCGGCUAACUCCGUGCCAGCAGCCGCGGUAAUACGGAGGAUGCGAGCGUUAUCCGGAUUUAUUGGGUUUAAAGGGUGCGUAGGCGGCGCUUCAGGUCAUCGGUGAAAUACCGGGGCUCAACCCCGGGGCGGCCGUUGAAACCGGAGC
rnacentral:rRNA from 1 species